rnacentral:rRNA from 1 species
UACGUGGGGUGCAAGCGUUGUUCGGAAUUACUGGGCGUAAAGGGCUCGUAGGUGGCCAACUAAGUCAGACGUGAAAUCCCCAGGCUCAACUUGGGAACUGCGUCUGAUACUGGAUGGCUUGAAUCCGGGAGAGGGAUGCAGAAUUCCAGGUGUAGCGGUGAAAUGCGCAGAUAUCAGGAGGAACACCGAUGGCGAAGGCAGCUCGCUGGGACGGUACUGACGCUGAGGCGCGAAAGCGUGGGGAGCAAACAGG